UGUUAGAGUGUGAUUAUGAUUCACACGGUUUAGAUAUUUCAGAUUAGUAUAAAGUGAUAAGGUCUCAGUUUGUUUAUAAGAGUAAUCCAGUUUUGGUUUGGAUUAGAACUCUAUUUGGGAUUUGAGUUUAGUACUCCUGAUUGUACAAGGAUUUAGUUUCAUAUUCCUUGUAGGAUUGUUAUAGGUGAUCCGGAACUUGUAGUAUAAAACCACAAUCCCCUGCUCUCGCAAAGAUACACUCUGAAUUUCGUUCCAGUUGCCUAUAAUCUGGAGAGUAUCGAGCUUUGCAGAGAGGAGAAGGUUUUGUGCAGAUUUCCAUAUCUUCUUCGUCUGUGAACAUGUCUGCAGGUAUGCACUGAUGCAAUUAUUUUUGUUCUUACAUUCAUAUUGCGUACAUGAUCAAAGGGUUGUGAUUUAAUUGUUUAAUCCUUGUGUUCUUGGCUGUUGAGUUGAUCGAUAAGUUUCUAUCUCUUCUCACAUGAGGUAUCAGAGCCAAUGGAUUCUUCAUUUAAAUUCAAUCUUGAAAUCGUUUUAAUCUGCAAAACAAAACUGACCUAUGGCAACCAGUCUGUUUAAAUUCGAAAUUGCAAGAAACGACGUCGUUUAAUUUAUUAAUCUUCUUUAAUAUUAUGACUGUUGGACUGGGUUUUUGACUGCAAUCGAAGAAAAAAAAAAAACCUCGAUUUUCAUUCUGUGUGAGAAAGAUCCGUAAUCUGAUAUGGCAAUAUCGUUUUUCUCAAACAUCAUAAAACAAAUUUCUUGUAUAACUAUUGCUUCCGCUGCGUAGAUUAUGAUAUCUGCAAAUUGAGGUAAUUUUCUGUUUCUUCUCCAUCCAUAUUGCGUUAAAAUAUAAAGAAGUAUUAUGGAAUUUUUGCUAUGUUUGCUUAAGAUUGGUGUACAAAGAUUAUGCAAUGCAUUCAAUUCCAUGUCUAUAGAUUAUUGACAUACUGCUCUUUUGUUUUCUUGUCACAAAUGAAAUUCUGAUCUGCGUGAUGAGUGAGUUUAUGCAUACACAAAUGGGUUGUUUCAUCUAUAUAUGUUUUUCAUGCUCAUGAGAAAUCUAUAUAUAUGACUAAAUUGAUUCAUUAACAUUGUGUAUUAAGUGAAAGUGGAUUGAAAUCAAGAACUUUUGGUUCUUUUAUUGAGAUUUCAUUUUGUCCAUGUCUGCAGUUUCGCUUAAAACACUCAACCUUGCAAGUGUUCCGAUUCUCACGGGGGGAAGUAACUACAAGAAGUGGAGGCGAGAAAUCGGUCUGCUACUGACUCUUAAUGAAUUUGAUAUUGCAUUAGACACUCCUAAGCCGCCAUUAUUGUCAGAUAAAAGCUCUGCCAAAUGGGAUUUUUAAAGCACAUGUUACUCAUAUGGGAGUUAUAGAUGCUUUAGAUAAGUGAGAGUGAUUGAAGUUAUUUUAUGUAGCUUUUGGAAGACAGUUAUAGGAUGCUUUUCCAAAGGAUGAGUGUCGUAGCAAAGUUUUCUGGAGCUAGGUAUUGUAAUUUAUUUAGUUACAACUUUCUUUGUGAUUUAGCAGUUAGUUGAGGUUUCUUUUAGUUCAACCUUUUCAGACAAAUCUGUGAUUGGUUGUUCACAGGAAACAUUUUUGAUAGUUCAAUAAAAUCUUUGAGUCAAAAUUUCGUUUUGAUAAAGAUAGUUUGAGAGUUGAACUUGGUUAUUCUUAUUGAUGAAUAGCUCAAGAACUUUUGUUGUAUUUCUGGACAACAUCAGUGAGUAAGUUUUGGUUUACUCCUAUUUUGGAUCACUUUGCUGAGAGCAUGAGUUAGACACUGUGAUUUGUAAGUCAAUUCUGCAUAUUGUAUUGUAGAGAAGAUUAUAAGUUCAUUGUCUUAGCGCAUGUUUUCAGUUUUGUGUUUUUUUUUUUUUGGUUGAGAAACAUUGUUAUGAGAUUUCUGCAAUUACUGUUGUGUUAAUUUGAAAUGAUUCUUUACUAUGGUGAAUCAUACUCAAGUGGGAGAAUGUUAGAGUGUGAUUAUGAUUCACACGGUUUAGAUAUUUCAGAUUAGUAUAAAGUGAUAAGGUCUCAGUUUGUUUAUAAGAGUAAUCCAGUUUUGGUUUGGAUUAGAACUCUAUUUGGGAUUUGAGUUUAGUACUCCUGAUUGUACAAGGAUUUAGUUUCAUAUUCCUUGUAGGAUUGUUAUAGGUGAUCCGGAACUUGUAGUAUAAAACCACAAGCCCCUGCUCUCGCAAAGAUACACUCUGAAUUUCGUUCCAGUUGCCUAUAAUCUGGAGAGUAUCGAGCUUUGCAAAGAGGAGAAGGUUUUGUGCAGAUUUCCAUAUCUUCUUCAUCUGUGAACAUGUCUGCAGGUAUGCACUGAUGCAAUUAUUUCUGUUCUAUCGGAUCUCACUUUCAAGAACACAAGGAUUAAACAAUUAAAUCACAACCCUUUGAUCAUGUACGCAAUAUGAAUGUAAGAACAGAAAUAAUUGCAUCAGUGCAUACCUGUAGACAUGUUCACAGACGAAGAAGAUAUGGAAAUCUGCACAAAACCUUCUCCUCUCUGCAAAGCUCGAUACUCUCCAGAUUAUAGGCAACUGGAACGAAAUUCAGAGUGUAUCUUUGCGGGAGCAGGGGCUUGUGGUUUUAUACUACAAGUUCCGGAUCACCUAGAACAAUCCUACAAGGAAUAUGAAACUAAAUCCUUGUACAAUCAAGAGUACUAAACUCAAAUCCCAAAUAGAGUUCUAAUCCAAACCAAAACUGGAUUACUCUUAUAAACAAACUGAGACCUUAUCACUUUAUACUAAUCUGAAAUAUCUAAACCGUGUGAAUCAUAAUCACACUCUAACAAGGAAACCUCGUCCGCAGUAUGGAACUCUGAUAGGCUGAUCCUUCUCUCCUCUAAGACCAACUUCUCCUUCACUACAAGGUCCAUCACCUGCAAAAUUCAAAAAGAUCGAUCAGUGAGUCAGAGGAAAACCAAGUGUAAAAUAUUAUUACCAAACAAAACGUUUGGGGCGUCUUUGUCAAGGAUCGAUGUACAAAGGUUAAAAUCUCAUUACCACCAAAUUGAAGGAGAACAAUAUUUCAAUUCAUGGAGAACGAUGGAAAUUCCAAUAAUAAGAGGGAAUCUACACAACUUACCGUUGCUCGAGUAAUGCCAGGAAGGCAGCAAUCAGCAUGAGGAGUCAAAACACAGCCUUUCUUCACCAAAAACUGCAUAAUCAAACAGAGUUUGUUUACAGUGUGGAUGUCACGUAAUUGAGACGGAGUGGAAGGAAGUGAUAGGACGUGAUAAUACAAUAGCAGAAGUCACUAUGACAUUGCAUUACUUAAGGAGAACAGGUCUAUAUUUUGUGCUCAUUAAAAUGUUACAAACUAGCGAGUUGAUCCAGCCCUCUAACGUUCACUUGAGACUAGUUUACAUGGACAUGUUUCUGAUGCUUUCAUGAAUGAAAGCAUCGGAAAUAACAAUGGAAAACUACAUCCUGAAAAAUGGAACCUAGCCACCAAAUUUUCAUACAGCAACGAAACCUGAAGAGAAAAAGCAUAGGCUUACAAUGUUCGUAGCGUUUGUUUCAGACACAUAGCCAUCAUUGUCAAGCAUGAUUGCAUCAUCAGCAUUUGCGUUGUUGCCUUCUAUCUGCAAUAUAUUCAAGAUGACUUGAACAAAGGUAGCUCAAAGUUCUGCAAGAUCAAAUACACCGCACAUGACAUGUUACCAGCUGAUGACACAAACUGAACUUACCUUUGCAAGUAUAUUAUUGAGUAGGUUAUUGUGGUGAAUCUUUGAAUCCAAAUUCUGGUAAAAGAAAAACGAAAAAAAAGUCGUAAAUCUAUAGUCAGGUGAGAAAAUGCAUAGGUAAGUGGAGGAAAAAAAAAAAGUUCUCUCUCUCUCUCAGUGGAAACCCUAGCAACCUCUAGUGUCGAUAGGAGGAAUAUGGGGAUAUUUCUUUGCUCCAACCAUUUUCUGUGAUUUUAAAAGGCUAAACACUUGUAACUCGAGUGAAAGGAGAAGACCUAAUGUUUGUCUUUCUCCCAAAGACCAGUUGUUUCUUCAUUGUCUGUAUUGCGUUGUGCUUAGGGUUGUUUGAGUUGGUUUUCUUAGCUCUUUUUUUGUGAAAGGCACAGUGAUUUUGGUGAAAGAUUUACGACUCUUUGGAAAAAAAAGUUUUCCAACUUAUCUAUAGUCACCAGGCAUCAAUCUUGUCGAAAAUCUGAUUUUCCUCCACUUACCUAUCUAAAUGCUCUUCAAGCUUAAAUAUCUUCCCAUCCUAAACUCGAAGACCCUCCCAAACUGAAUCACCGCCUUGGACAACCGAGUUGAACACAGAAACCUUGGACAGGAUAGAAAUAAAUAUCCAUAACUAUAGCAUCGAAACAAAAGACUGGAGGGAUGAUCUGUCAACUGGAGAACAUCAAGUGUCUCGUGUACAGGUAUCUUUGCACUCUCGCGCGGUACAAUCUGAUCACCAACCCAUGCAAGUAGCUUCUUAUUUUCUGGAACUGGAAGAUCGGGCUCAGGCAAAGGAGACUUCAGAAGGCUCGAUGUCUGCCUCACAUGGCGCCUAAGAAAGUUGUAGAAAGGUAGACUUUGCUCAAGUACGUCAUACAGAGACAUAGGGAAUGGCUGAAAAAACACACAUAGAGCAUAUUCUCAGACGUUGUGUCAUGCUGUAACUUGAGUUGUCAUUAUCUAUCAAAAUGCAAAAUUGUGGGAACAGGCAAGAAAAAGGUUAAAUACACAAUUAUAUAACUAAGAGAAAAAAGACAUUUAACUAUUUGCAGUCCGUCCAACGAGUACAUGUAGUAUAACCUAAUUAUCUAUAUUUCGGAUGAUCUUUGUGUCUAUUGUUUCCUAGCAUGCGAUCAAAAUCUAGCACUUAAACUAGAAUUAAGUAUGUUUCAAAGAGAACCACAUUUUAAUGACUACAUCUUUGAUUAAAUAUACAACUCGUAAGGUUUCAACAUAUGCAAAUCUAAAGUAACGUAACGCAAAAACAGCAUACCACAGGAUAUUUUGUUGGUGGUUGAAAGCCUGUUGAUUUAUGCGCAGUUUCGUACCACCAUGGAGCCCAAACACCAUCUAUCGCUUUUGGACCAGCCUCCCAUCUUAAAAGGAAGUUUCGUUGGAAACUUUUCAUGAACAAAAAGGCUAAACUAAACUACAGUAUCUACAUUAAUUCAAAAAGAACUAGACCAGAAGAGUAUCAACUUAAAUGGAAUAGCGUCGGCAUACUUGGGCAUUGUGGGCUGAAAAGGAAUAUCCAAGUCUUCACAAAGACCGCUUAAUGUAGCCUGCAUCGUCAACGAGAUAAAGGUGAAAAGAAAACAGAAGAUUGAGAAAGUUUUAUUUAAGCAAUACAUAGACAAUAUGCAAUGCUUGGUCAAUGCAGAGAAAUCACUUAUGAUAAAUUGUGGAUAGAUAUUAAAAAAAAACUCUCUAAUACCUCAGGAUCUAGUUGAAGUUCUGCUGCAUCAACGAUGGGAGGGGGCUGCCCCAGUUGGGAGGGCUCACUAUAUAUGGUGACCAUUUCUGCCAAACCUAAUUCAGCCAGGGACGGAGGAACAACCUUGUCAAAGGAUGCCUGACAAACAUCAAACAGUGACGUCAGUAAAACCACA
rnacentral:lncRNA from 1 species